rnacentral:rRNA from 1 species
GACGAACGCUGGCGGCGUGCUUAACACAUGCAGGUCGAACGGAAAGGCCCUGCUUUUGUGGGGUGCUCGAGUGGCGAACGGGUGAGUAACACGUGAGUAACCUGCCCUUGACUUUGGGAUAACUUCAGGAAACUGGGGCUAAUACCGGAUAGGAGCUCCUGCUGCAUGGUGGGGGUUGGAAAGUUUCGGCGGUUGGGGAUGGACUCGCGGCUUAUCAGCUUGUUGGUGGGGUAGUGGCUUACCAAGGCUUUGACGGGUAGCCGGCCUGAGAGGGUGACCGGCCACAUUGGGACUGAGAUACGGCCCAGACUCCUACGGGAGGCAGCAGUGGGGAAUAUUGCACAAUGGGCGGAAGCCUGAUGCAGCAACGCCGCGUACGGGAUGACGGCCUUCGGGUUGUAAACCGCUUUCGCCUGUGACGAAGCGUGAGUGACGGUAAUGGGUAAAGAAGCACCGGCUAACUACGUG